AUCUUACUUGGCAGCAUUCG
rnacentral:miRNA from 1 species